rnacentral:RNase_P_RNA from 1 species
GGAGUCGGCCGGACAGUCGCGUCGCACGCGAGUGCGUCGAGGAAAGUCCGGGCUCCACAGGGCAGGGUGCCAGGUAACGCCUGGGCAGCGCGAGCUGACGGCCAGUGCAACAGAGAGCAGACCGCCGAUGGCCCCGGAAGGGGAUCAGGCAAGGGUGAAAGGGUGCGGUAAGAGCGCACCGCGUGCGGGGCCAACGCCGCACGGCACGGUAAACCCCACCCGGAGCAAGACCGAAUAGGGGAACGAUAACGCGGCCCGCGUUGUUCCCGGGUAGGUCGCUGGAGCCAGGCGGCGACGCCUGGCCGAGAGGAAUGACUGUCGCGCCGCAAGGCGUACAGAACCCGGCUUACAGGCCGGCUCCGCCC